UUGAUAAGGACUUGGUGAUUUUACAGAUCUCAACAGAUGUAGUGGAAGUUGGACCUGCUUUGUACAAUGAGAGAUGUCUAGCAUCUUCUUGUGAUCGGUAUGAGGCGACUGGUACUAAAGUUGAGCAGAUCUCAGAUAUUGAAGAUGAUGAUGAACCCGUGUUGGUAGUAUAUUCAUCAGUGAAGGCUGAAUGUAAGAGCACUGUGAAUGAACGUCGUGGUGUGAAACGUCCACAUUCCUGUAAUACCUGUAGUAAGUCAUUCAGAUGUAAUAGUGAUUUGCUGAGACAUGAACGCAUACAUAGUGGUGAGCGCCCUUAUUCUUGCGACAUAUGUAAUAAGUGUUUUACUACAAAAAGUGACCUCACGAGACAUAAACGUAUACACGAUAAUGUGCGUCUGUAUACAUAUUAUGUGUAAGAAGUCGUUUGGUGAUAACGGUAAUCUGAAGAAACAUGAAUCCAUACGUAGUGUGAAGUGUCCAUUUUCAUGUGAUCUUUCAGUGGAAAGGAUAUUCUGAAGGAACAUUUACACAUAUAUCAUGGCAGACUAAAUAAUACACUGGAACUGUUGUAAGCAUGUACGUAAGAGGUGGCACUUGUAUUCCUGCAAUGUUAUAAGUUAUUCAGUGUUAAUGCAAACAAAGAAAUGCCAGUGUAUUGACACUUGGUGGCGUAGCCGGGAGAGCCGUAGUAAGUGUUAACAGUAGUCUGAUGAGCAAUAGCAUGGAGCAAUAAUAUUUCUAGGAUGUGUGUAGCACAUGAAGAGUCCUACCUUCUGGGAUAUAAUGCCAUUUGCAGAGGUACAUGUAGAAUAAACCAAGCAAGAAAGUAGCAUGAAACUGGUUGCAGGAAGAGGUUUCUCACUUGGCUUAAUCUUUGAUCUUGAAGAUAGAGUUAACAUGUUUCUCUGUAACAUCAAAUGACUUUCAGCGGACUACAUGGUGUUAAUCCCAGAAGGUUAUUGCAUUUCAUAACCACUGCUGUGAGAACCUCAGAUCAAGGUCCACAAGUGAGGGACUUAUUAGUUCUCAGCCUGUGGUUAGCUGUGCCAGGCUAGCUAAAUCAUAUAUGCAUAUGUCAGUGACACAGAAGUAGAAAGGGAAUGACAGUGGAUCCCUUUUAAGCAGUUCAGGGGACCAAGAAGUAUAAACUACAUAAGCAGUUAACCAUCUUAACGGGGUAGGCAUCAGAAUGUUUACAAAAUUAAUUAUAUGUCUUGUAGAAAAUGAAUGCAUUGCAUUAUUUUUUUACACUGAAUGAAUAGCUAAAAGCAUACCAAAUGCAGAGGCUUUCAGAUGGGUGUAACAUGUUCCUGCUGUCACGGUUAAAGUCAGUCUGUUUUGAAAUGUUAAUCAUUCAUGAAAAAUAUAUGUAAUAUCAUUUGCUUUACUUGUCUUUCAAAUAAAUUUGAUGUUAAAAUUUU